rnacentral:rRNA from 1 species
GAUGAACGCUGGCGGCGUGCCUAAUACAUGCAAGUCGAGCGAACGAACGAGAAGCUUGCUUUUCUGAUGUUAGCGGCGGACGGGUGAUUAACACGUGGAUAACCUACCUAUAAGACUGGGAUAACUUCGGGAAAGCGGAGCUAAUAUCGGAUAAUAUUUUGAACCGCAUGGUUCAAAAGUGAACGACGGUCUUGCUGUCCCUUAUACAUGGAUCCGCGCUGCAUUAGCUAGUUGGUAAGGUAACGGCUUACCAAGGCAACGAUGCAUAGCCGGUCUGAGAGGGUGAUCAGCCACACUGGAACUGAGACACGGUCCAGACUCCUACGGGAGGCAGCAGUAGGGAAUCUUGCGCAAUGGGCGAAAGCCUGACGGAGCAACGCCGCGUGAGUGAUGAAGGUCUUCGGAUCGUAAAGCUCUGUUAUUAGGGAAGAACAUAUGUGUAAGUAACUGUGCACAUCUUGACGUUACCUAAUCAGAAAGCCACGGCUAACUACGUG